rnacentral:rRNA from 1 species
CCCUUAGAUGUUCUGGGCAGCACGCGCGCUACAAUGGUCUUCGCAAACGGAUGCAUGCUCGAAGGAGAAUGCCAAUCUUGGAAUCUAUGCCUUGGUCGGGACAGUUGCUUGCAAUUUUUCGACUCGAACCAGGAAUUCCUUGUAAUCGUGAUUCAUCACAUCACGAUGAAUACGUCCCUGCCCUUUGUACACACCGCCCGUCGCUCCUACCGAUCGAAGAGUUAGGUGAAUUGUUUUGAUCGAUAAGAUUUGACUAUGGUCAACUCUCGUUGUGAAAUUCUGUGAAUCUGACUGUUUAGAGGAAGGAAAAGUCGUAACA